GGGGCGGGGAGACGCGUCACGUCACACAAAACAUCUGUUCCGCAACCCGGAUAGAUUUCACCCUCCCCUGCUACCAUCUCUCUUUUUGGAGCAGUUGUUCUUCACGGAAGCAUCGUUGCCCCCUCGCCGCUAGAAUUUCCCGAAAGGACGACAAUUUUCGAGUGUCUUGAGUGUGAAACGUGAGCCGCGAUGUGUAACGCCUGGGGGUAUAACGUCCGCGGGGCGUACUGCCUCGGUAUCUUCCUGGUUAUCCUCGGCAUCUUCAGCAUCCUGCUGGGCAUUAUCGGGCUCGGCGCCUGCUACGGGUACUGCGCGCCGAUCGUCUGCGUCGUCGGUGCCCCAAUAUGGAGCGGCGUCUUCGUGUUGUUAGCGGGAAUUCUGGCUAUACGCAGUGCCUACAACCCUGGGGAUGGCUGCUUGAUCACGUCAUUUGUGGUGUUCGCGAUCCUUGCGUUCGUGACGACGCUGCUGACGGUAUUGGUGGGAAUCGCGGAGUCCGGCGUGGUGAACGAGUACUACUUUGACGACGCCUUCAUGACAGUGACUGACAGGGUGCCUGUGACGUACACCGUUCCUCCAGUCAGGGACGCACGGCAGGCUAACGGGCGGCCUGAGGACGUCACCACCGCCGCACCUAUCGCCGUUACCGACGCCGUGAUGGGCACCGACAGCGCCGUGACCGAGGCCGCGGCCGAGACCGCCACGUCUGGAGGAUGGAUCCACGACUUCAAGACCGAGUUCCGCCGCAUCUGGCCCUAUUACGAGAACCAUGCCGCCCUGCUAGCUCUCAUCAUCAUCUCAGCUGUGAUUGAAGUCAUCCUGACCGCCGUCAUCUCCUGCAUCGGCUGUGGAGGGAUCUGCUCUGGUUACCAUGGACACGAGGCCCCUGCUAUUGUUGUGUACGACGGCACCAAGGCCAUGCCUCUCGGACCCGGUCAAAGGGCAGUACAACAACCUGAUGGUGGCAUCAAGGUUGUCCCCAUAGGUCAGUCAGCCGCCAGCGUAUGAUAUCAUAAUGGCCAUGAAUUAUAGUUAUGUUAAUAUAUUAUGGUUUUGCUUUUUGUUCUGUAAAAUUCGUUUUACUUCAAAUUUGCUUUGUUCCUUUACAUUUUUCUACAUGUUGGCAUGGUGUUCACGGUUUGAGACACCGGAGUAUAAACAGAGGAAAGAGGCUGAACUGGCGACUGCUUCUGUUUAAAACUCUGCUCACAAAAGAGAAGAACCCGGGAAAGUCGGGUUGUAAACUUGGUAGCUAUCUUCGUAAAUUUUUGUUGCAAAAACUUUGUCACCAGAUGUUUAAAACAAAUUUAAAACAGUCUGGUAUCCUCAGAUCAUGACUUCUUUAAAAAAUGCAUUAGUAAAGUCCAAAGAGCUACUCAUAGGAAUACUUCGGUAUAACUACGAACCAAGUUGUAUGUAAUAUUAUUAAUCCUUGUUUGGUGUUUGAUAUUUUUUGUAGAAAAUGUCAAUAUGACGCUUUAGUUUGGGGUUGUUUUAUUCUAGGAGGUGCCAAAAUACUGCGAGGAAUGUCAAAUAUAACCUUGUAUGUUGGUCAAGUCUUUACCAGUUUAACAUUUGUUAGUCUUUCUUCAGCUAAUGAUGCAAACAGUCAGUGUAUUUGUAAGUUGCUAGUCUCUAGAUAUGUUAUGUAGUUAGUUACAGUACAUUGUAGUUCGUUUAAUUAGAUAAUAGAUGUCAUUCAACUGGUGCUACUAUAUCCCUCAGUGGUUUACUUUAGAGGAAACUUAAAAGGUAUCUACAUAUAUGAGGCGCACAAACGAAGUCUUUAAGUGUAUGAUAUUGUUUAAGACUUUCUAGCAGCUGUUGUGGGGACAAAACUUGGAUUUUCUAGAGUCAUUGGUGACUAACUGAUCCAGUUUGUACAGUGUGUGUGCCUUCUUUUUCCUUUCUGCACUUGUAUAUCACUUGAUUAUUUUAUCACGAGUGUUCAGAUCUGUGCUAUUUGACAAUCAGAAGAAGUGAAAAUUCUACGUCAUUAGCUGUGUUACUUAUAAACGUAGUGUUAUUGACCUUUGACCUAGCAGGUGCAAUGUUUCCGCCAUCUUGUUUCCGCCAUCUUGUUUCCGCCAUCUUGAAACCAGUCGAUUGUGAAGUGAACAUUAUAGCUCUAGAUUUUAAUUAUUUUGAUUGAUAAUAGUGAGUUGAAUGUAGAUGUAGGGAGACAGAUGUACAGAAAUAUGACAAGUGUGAUGUUGCUUUUACCCGAAAAUAAAAUCAAAGAGUCUCCGA